rnacentral:rRNA from 1 species
AACGGCCGCGGUAUCCUGACCGUGCGAAGGUAGCGUAAUCAUUUGUCUUUUAAAUAGAGACCUGUAUGAAUGGCAUAACGAGGGUUUAACUGUCUCCUUCCCCUAGUCAAUGAAAUUGAUCUGCCCGUGCAGAAGCGGACAUAAAUACAUAAGACGAGAAGACCCUAUGGAGCUUUAGACAAAAGAUCAAACAUGUAAAGAAACCAAGUUAACCAAAAGGAACACAAAGGCCACGAAACCCGACGUAAACUGAUCCAAAUGUCUUCGGUUGGGGCGACCAUGGGGGAGAAAAAAGCCCCCACGAGGAACAGGGACUUAUCCCUAAGCCAAGAGAGACAUCUCUAAGCAACAGAAAAUCUGACCAAAAGUGACCCAGAAUACUAAUUCUGAUCAACGAACCAAGUUACCCUAGGGAUAACAGCGCAAUCCUUUCCCAGAGUCCAUAUCGACGAAAGGGUUUACGACCUCGAUGUUGGAUCAGGACAUCCUAAUGGUGCAGCCGCUAUUAAGGGUUCGUUU